rnacentral:rRNA from 1 species
AGGGAAUAUUGGACAAUGGGGGAAACCCUGAUCCAGCCAUGCCGCGUGUGUGAAGAAGGUCUUAGGAUUGUAAAGCACUUUAAGUUGGGAGGAAGGGCAGUUAACUAAUAUUUGACUGUUUUGACGUUACCGACAGAAUAAGCACCGGCUAACUUCGUGCCAGCAGCCGCGGUAAUACGAAGGGUGCAAGCGUUAAUCGGAAUUACUGGGCGUAAAGCGCGCGUAGGUGGUUCGUUAAGUUGGAUGUGAAAGCCCCGGGCUCAACCUGGGAACUGCAUCCAAAACUGGCGAGCUAGAGUACGGUAGAGGGUGGUGGAAUUUCCUGUGUAGCGGUGAAAUGCGUAGAUAUAGGAAGGAACACCAGUGGCGAAGGCGACCACCUGGACUGAUACUGACACUGAGGUGCGAAAGCGUGGGGAGCAAACA